rnacentral:rRNA from 1 species
UGCUACCUACGGGAGGCAGCAGUGAGGAAUAUUGGUCAAUGGGCGGAAGCCUGAACCAGCCAAGUCGCGUGAGGGAAGAAGGCCCUGCGGGUCGCAGACCUCUUUGGACGGGGAGCAAGGCCGCCGACGUGUCGGCGGAAGGAGAGUACCCGUAGAACAAGCAUCGGCUAACUCCGUGCCAGCAGCCGCGGUAAUACGGAGGAUGCGAGCGUUAUCCGGAUUUAUUGGGUUUAAAGGGUGCGCAGGCGGCGAGUUAAGUCAGCGGUAAAAUUUCGGGGCUCAACCCCGACGAGCCGUUGAAACUG